rnacentral:rRNA from 1 species
GUAGGUGAACCUGCGGAAGGAUCAUUAACAAAAAAUGAACUUAUAACUAACUGACUGGUGCUUACGCACUAUGAACUUAUAAAUAUAAACCAUAAAACUCUAAUGGUUGAUAAAAAACUAAAUUUUCAACGAUGGAUGUCUUGGCUCCCAUAACGAUGAAGAACGCAGCGAAAAUGCGAUAUGCAAUGUGAAUUGCAGAACCACGAAUCAUCAGAUCUUUGAACGCAUCUGGCGCCGAUACACUCGGCAUACUUGUUUCAGUGUGCUUAAACAACUAAAACCUAAAUGUAGGAGAAGUUCUCCUAUUAAAUAAAUGCUCCUUGCAGCAGUCACAUUUAUAUGUGAGCUACUAUGGAGAAUAAAGACUUAAUGUCACCUGAAAUCAAGUAAGAUGACCCGCUGGACUUAAGCAUAUUAAUAAGCGGAGGAAAAGAAAUUAACUAAGAUUGCCUUAGUAAGGGCGACUGAACCGGCAAUAGCUCGAAAUUGAAAUCGUUGGUUCAAUGAACCUUCGAAUUGUAAUCAGGACUGCCUAAAUACGAGAGGAUGCUCAAGCACAUCGAAUGGUGCGCCAUAGAGGGUGAGAGCCCCGUGAAGUGUUUUCUCGAGUAAGGUAGUUUCUACAAGAGUCGGGUUGCUUGGAACUGCAGCCCUAAGUGGGAGAUAUGAUUCUUCCAAAGCUAAAUAUGGAUGGGAGACCGAUAGCGAACAAGUACUGUGAAGGAAAGAUGAAAAGGACUUUGAAAAGAGAGUGAAAAGAUCUGAAAUCGUUGAGAAGGAAGCGGUAGGAACUGAUGAUCGUACUGAUGAUGCAACAGGACGACCUCCUGGAGUAUCAACCAGAGCGAUGGGCAAAAUCAAGUCGACUUCUCCAAAAAAGGCUUUAGCCGAUUAAGGGAGAAUCCGGCUUGAGGGACUACGGUGAUUUUGCCAAAAUGGUUCCUACCGUCCCGUCUUGAAACACGGACCAAGGAGUCUAGCCUAUAUGCGAGUGUGCGAGUGGAAAAACUCAUACGCGGAAUGAAAGUAAAAGGUGCGCAGUGUAAAAACAGCAGCAUCGGCCGACCUAGGAAGAAAGGUUUGAGUAAGAGCAUAUACGUUAGGACCCGAAAGAUGGUGAACUAUGCCUGAGUAGGGUGAAGUCAGGGGAAACCCUGAUGGAGGCUCGUAGCGAUACUGACGUGCAAAUCGUUCGUCAAACUUGGGUAUAGGGGCGAAAGACUAAUCGAACCAUCUAGUAGCUGGUUCCCUCCGAAGUUUCCCUCAGGAUAGC